rnacentral:rRNA from 1 species
GGGUCAGGAGGUUGGUCGUGCCACCGGUACGUACUGGUCUCACUGAUUCCUCCUUCCUCAAGAACCGUAAUGCCAUUAAUUUGGUGUUGCGGGGAAACACGACUUUUACUUUGAAAAAAUUAGAGUGUUUAAAGCAAGCUAACGCUUGAAUACAUUAGCAUGGAAUAAUGAAAUAGGACGAUCGAUCCUAUUUUGUUGGUUUCUAGGAUUGACGUA